rnacentral:ncRNA from 12 species
GCUUUCAACAUCCCCGUCUCAGAGGCGAAGGACGGUGCCGGCGCCUGCCGACACCAAACGACCUUAUGAGACUGAAGGC